rnacentral:lncRNA from 1 species
UUAAAAUAAUUAAAAAAUAAAUUGUAAGAAGAAAAAAGAUAAUUGUGAAAAGGAAAAAAAAAACUAUUUUAUGCCUCCUUCCUCAACCAACCUUCUUCUUCAUGUCACCGUUGCUUGUGCAGCUUCUUCCUUCACACCUUCAUCAAUUUCAUCGAAGUCUCUUGCCUCACAUCGUAUUGCAUAGGUUUUCGAGCUACAAAUUCAGAAAUUUUGAGUCUUUCGGGGUGGCGGCGGUGAAGGGGUGGUAUCAGUCGUCUGUGGCUGGGACGUGACGGCGGUGGAGGUCUGAAGCGAAGUAGACUUAGGAAGUUUCUCCAUUGGAGAAAAUGAAUCAAUUUCGAAAAAGAUCGAAAAAAUCCCAAAAUUUCUCAAAGCGCUUUAUUUCGCCAUUCUUAUUUAUAUAAGGGUCAAAAAAAGUAUAAAGAAGUUUCAUCUUUAAGGAUAUGUAGCAUGAGUGAAUUCAUUAAUAAUUUCAAAGAAAGUAAUCAAAUUCAUAUAUUAAGUUUGCCCAAAAAAAUGAAGUUUUGCCGGAAAAAAUAAAAUUUCAUCAAAAAAUAUUUUUAACCCGAUUUUUUCGAUUUUGUGACUUUUUCGAUGAAGAUAAGGACAAAAAUGAUGUUUGAUAAAGAUGGAAUGAUGAUAUGAUAUGAAGAAAGAAUGGAGGAGUAUAUUGAAAAGGAGAGUAGAGCAGGAAUUUGGCCAUUGAAGAAAUGUAUGCAGUAAGGUGG